rnacentral:snRNA from 1 species
GUACAUUCCUGAACAUAUACUAGAAUUGGAACAACACAGAGAAGAUUAGCAUGGCCCAUGCGCAAGAUUGACACGCAAAUUCGUGAAGCGUUAUAAAAUUGU